UGACCUCGGAUCAGUAG
rnacentral:rRNA from 11 species